GAAGGAUAAGAAGCCAUCCACUUUCCAUACCACCACCAACUUCAAAACCUUGUGAAUGAUAAGCAAUCGUCUGGUUUUCCAUCAUACAAAAACGGUUACUAUUGACCCAGAGGAAUUUUCUGAAGACGAAUAUCCAGCAAGGUCCAAAAGUGAAUUUGUCUAUAUUAAAAAGUAUCUAUGAACCUGGGCAAUGGAACAAUCUAAGAGUUCUCUUUGCUCAUCUUUUAAAUUGGUAGAAUACAUAGCAAGACGCUGAUGUAAAAGUUUAAAGAAUGUCUCAUCUAGCAAACAGGAUUUACAGACAUGCGAAGACGUUCAGGAACUUGUAAUUUAAUUGGGAAUGCAAAGCAUUAAGUAUGUAGGUCUCCAGUCAGUCGUUUCCCUUUCCUCAUCUGUAUUCAGAUAACUAAGGAGGCCAACUGUAGAACUCAGGGCGUUGAACAACAUCAGUUUAUAUAGAAGUUCAAAACAAGGAGAUCGAGGCAUUAAUGCAUUGCAGAACACCUCAGAUAUGCUCCAUGCCUUCAGGUUACAAAGCUGAUGGCAAAUGUAUAACUUAAUAAUACCAAAUCAACAAAAAAAAAAGAGAGAGAAGAAAAGGAGACAAAAGGGAAUUGUUUGUAAGUGCAACGAAUUAGAUAACCUGCCCUAGCAUAAAUAUUUGCAAGAAUGACGAUGGAUCUUGAAAUAGAGGGUGAUAAGGAGAGGGAAAUUUUUCAAUUUUUUGUUCAUGGACAGACAGAGUAGUUAAUUGCCUGAAUAAAAAGCACUAACGAAUUUAAUAGAGGUAAAAAUAAAUUGAUAUAAAAUUUA
rnacentral:lncRNA from 1 species